rnacentral:rRNA from 1 species
UGCCAGCCGCCGCGGUAACACGGGGGGCGCAAGCGUUAUUCGGAAUUAUUGGGCGUAAAGGGCGCGCAGGCGGUCUUGUCCGUCAGGUGUGAAAGCUCGGGGCUCAACCCCGGAAGUGCACUUGAAACAGCAAGACUUGAAUACGGUAGAGGAGAGAGGAAUUCCUGGUGUAGAGGUGAAAUUCGUAGAUAUCAGGAGGAACACCGAUGGCGAAGGCAUCUCUCUGGGCCGAUAUUGACGCUGAGGCGCGAAGGCGUGGGUAGCGAACGGGAUUAGAUA